CGUCCACCGCGGUCCUGGGCUACCCUACUUCAUAGGAGGUGUUUGGCACCGGCUGUCCCGCAGUGCCGGACGCUUGCUGCGCCCGACGGGUGCGAAGGGGGUUGAGCCGAGUGGUGAUAUUAGCGCGCUGAUCUUAGUCUAGUAAUUUUAGUCUGUACCAACCAAACGGCCCAACGACCCAUCCCUUAAUUUUUCUUUUUAAAUAUUUGUGACAAUCACAAUAAAUUGUUGUCAAUUUAAA